rnacentral:rRNA from 1 species
CACGUAGGGGGCAAGCGUUGUUCGGAAUUACUGGGCGUAAAGGCUCGUAGGCGGCCAACUAAGUCGGAUGUGAAAUCCCCCCGGCUUAACCUGGGAACUGCGUCUGAUACUGGAGGGCUUGAGUAUGGGAGAGGGAUGUAGAAUUCCAGGUGUAGCGGUGAAAUGCGUAGAUAUCUGGAGGAAUACCGGUGGCGAAGGCGGCAUCCUGGACCAUUACUGACGCUGAGGCGCGAAAGCUAGGGGAGCAAACGGG